UGCCAGCAGCCGCGGUAAUACGAAGGGACCUAGCGUAGUUCGGAAUUACUGGGCUUAAAGAGUUCGUAGGUGGUUGAAAAAGUUGGUGGUGAAAUCCCAGAGCUUAACUCUGGAACUGCCAUCAAAACUUUUCAGCUAGAGUUUGAUAGAGGAAAGCAGAAUUUCUAGUGUAGAGGUGAAAUUCGUAGAUAUUAGGAAGAACACCAGUGGCGAAGGCGACUCUCUGGGCCAAUACUGACGCUGAGGUUCGAAAGCGUGGGGAGCGAACGGGAUUAGAUA
rnacentral:rRNA from 1 species